GCCACGGUGGCAGAGUCUGGCCGAACGCAUCCGCCUGCAGAGCGGACCAUCGCCGGUUCAAAUCCGGCCCGUGGCU
rnacentral:tRNA from 2 species